UGUGCCUCUACUGUACAUGUGUCUAUUAAAGCAGAGUCAGUACUCAGAGAGAGACAGAGACAGACAGAGAGACAGAGAGAUAGACAGACAGACAGACAGACAGACAGACAGACAGACAGACAGACAGACAGACAGACAGACAGACAGACAGACAGACAGACAGACAGACAGACAGACAGACAGACAGACAGACAGACAGAGAGACAGAGAGACAGACAGACAGACAGACAGACAGACAGACAGACAGACAGACAGACAGACAGACAGACAGAGAGACAGACAGACAGACAGACAGACACCAUGUCUCCCUCCCAGUCCUCCCUACUGCUGCUGCUGAUGGUCUCCUGCUCCUGGGCCUCCCACUUCUUAGGAGGAACCAUGACCUUCAACCCCAGAGGGACCAACCCAGAUGGGACCUACAGGGUGGACCUUCGUUACAAGACAGCCUUCCACUAUUCCAUCUGUCUUUCUGAUACCUGGUGGUGUGUCAGUGGGGACUGUGGGAAUGAGACCAGUCUAGUGGUUAAGGGAGUGGACCAGGGGAUAUCUGAGGACUGGUGUCAGACAGAAGGAGUCAUGACUAGACACGUCUCCAUUAACACACAGACUUUUGAUCUGCGAUUGGAUAGCUGUUGCUGGAUAGACAAUGAUAAUGAUGUUUAUUUUUGGAGGCUGUUGACUCAUGUGGAUCUUGGGGUCAGGUCUGACACGGGGACAGUCAACCGAUCUCCACAGACCACUGUCAUACCUCUGAUGAGUGUCCCUGCUAAUUGUCAAAGAGAUUUCAACCUGUUGCUGUUUGAUCCAGAUGGGGAUAUGGUCAGAUGCAGAUACGCAGUACCAACGGAUGAGUGUUACACAUCAAGUGACCUUCCUAAUGACUUCACUCUACGAGAGAACUGCACCUUGUCAUUUUGGGGCAACAGUAAUACCACUGGAACAUAUGUAGUUCAGAUGGUGAUGGAGGAUUUCCCGACUCAGUCCAUCUCUCUCUCCUAUACUGACGGAUCUCAAUCUAACAGGACCUCAAACAAUACACUCUGCAAACUGCCUGUUCAGUUUGCAGUGAGAGUGGACCCCCCGGUGACAUCCUGUAUGGAGGGGCUGUACCUACCCAUGUUCCUGUCUCCAACACCAGCCCAGGGUGCACUGCUGUACGCCUCUGCAGACCAACCCCUGGAAAUCACUGUCAGAGCACAGGCUACCAACUCCACGGUUUCAGAGCUGUUGGUGAGUGGACCUUCCGGUAUCACAGAGAACACCACUGAUCCAGGAGAGUACCUUCUAAGAUGGACGCCCACUGAGGAUGAGGAGGGAGGGUACUAUCCUGUGUGCUUCAUCGCUCAGGGAGUGAACGACAGUUCCACGUACCACUCUGAGCUGCGCUGUGUGAUCGUCAGGGUUGGAAACACAAGCGGAGACGUUGUUGUACUGAGGACAAAAGUGUCCGCUCUGAUCCCACUGACAGAUAAUUACAUCAGAAACAUGGUGUUUCAGCAGAUCCGUCUAAUUCCGAUCGUCAGGAUGUCAGGGAUGGACCUCCCAUUGGACGAGCUCCAAGGAUCCGGAAUCUCCCCUGACAACGGAACCUUCCUGAAGUUCUCCCCCACCUCCGUUUCCAUGGCAGCCGUGGAGCCUGCUGGUGUUCCUGCUCGUCAUUACCCUCCUCAGGCUGGAGAACAUCAUUACAUCCUCCUCCUCUGUAGCUGACUGCAGCAUGACAGCCUACCCCGGCGACGCUGGGCCAAUUGUACAGCCACCGUAUGGGACUCCCAAUCACAGCCUAGAUGUGAUACAGCCUGGAUUUGAACCAGGGACUGCAGUGACACCUCUUGCACUAAAAUGCAGUGCCUUAGACCGCAGAGCUCCUUUGAAGAGAUGAACAGCCACUUUAGCAGGGUUGAGAAGAGCUGACCAAUCAGAACCCGAGGACGUUUGUUACGGAGCCCCAUGAGGAACACAUGAUGCCGACUUUCCGCUGUGUGUUUGACCGCCUCUGAACCCCAAUAACCCGGAAUAGAGUAGUCCCUGAUCAUAGAUCUAGGAUUGUACCCAAUCCCAAUUUAAUCUAAAUCUCCCUCUCUCUCUCUUUUGCCCCCCACACACACCCCCCUCCCCACACAAUAUAGUUUUAAAUUAGUGUUGUAAUGAUGCUCUUAUUUGGUUACAUACGUGUUAAUUGCUGUUACUUCUAUUGUCAAUUAUGUUGUUAGUUUGUAGUUAAUGUUGUUAGCUAUUUGAAUUCA
rnacentral:lncRNA from 1 species